rnacentral:rRNA from 1 species
UACGAAGGGGGCUAGCGUUGCUCGGAAUCACUGUGCGUAAAGCGCACGUAGGCGGAUUGUUAAGUCAGGGGUGAAAUCCUGGAGCUCAACUCCAGAACUGCCUUUGAUACUGGCGAUCUUGAGUCCGGGAGAGGUGAGUGGAACUGCGAGUGUAGAGGUGAAAUUCGUAGAUAUUCGCAAGAACACCAGUGGCGAAGGCGGCUCACUGGCCCGGUACUGACGCUGAGGUGCGAAAGCGUGGGAGCAACAGG